rnacentral:rRNA from 1 species
CAGCCGCCGCGGGAAUACGAAGGGUGCAAGCGUUAAUCGGAAUUACUGGGCGUAAAGCGCGCGUAGGUGGUUUGGUAAGAUGGAUGUGAAAUCCCCGGGCUCAACCUGGGAACUGCAUCCAUAACUGCCUGACUAGAGUACGGUAGAGGGUGGUGGAAUUUCCUGUGUAGCGGUGAAAUGCGUAGAUAUAGGAAGGAACACCAGUGGCGAAGGCGACCACCUGGACUGAUACUGACACUUAGGUGCGAAAGCGUGGGGAGCAAACAGGAUUAGAUACCCCAGUAGUCCCUGUCUCUUAUAC